rnacentral:rRNA from 1 species
CUGCCCGGUGAAAGCAAUUUUAAACGGCCACAAUCGUGCUAAGGUAGCGUAAUCAGUUGUCCUUUUACUGAGGACUAGUAUGAAAGGAAAAACGAGGCUCAACUGUCUCUAUUAAAAAAAUAAAAAUUAGUUUUUAGAUGAAAAAAUCUAAAUGAAAUUAAAGGACGAAAAGACCCUAUAGAGUUUAAAUAUAAUUAUACUAUUCACAAAUUAAACAAAACGAAUAGGAUAAGUAUUUUAAUUGGGGCAACAUAGGAACAAGAAAUUUCCUUAUAGUAAACAUUUAACAUCAUAAAAAUAAAAAUCCUCAAAGAGAUAAAGAAAAACUACCUUAGGGAUAACAGCGUAAUUUUUCUAAAGAGACCUAAUCGAAAGAAAAGUUUGCGACCUCGAUGUUGGACUAAGGCAUCAAAAUGGUGAAGAAACUAUUAAAAGUAGGCCUGUUCGGCCUAAUAGCCUUACAUGAUUUG